rnacentral:rRNA from 1 species
UACGGAGGGGGCGAGCGUUGUCCGAAGUUACUGGGCGUAAAGCGCGCGUAGGCGGGUGGGUAAGUCCGCUGUGAAAGCCCGGAGCUUAACUCCGGAGGGUCGGUGGAUACUGCCCAUCUUGAAGGUGCUAGGGGGAGAUGGAAUUACCGGUGUAGCGGUGAAAUGCGUAGAGAUCGGUAGGAACACCAGUGGCGAAGGCGGCUCACUGGACAUGUAUUGACGCUGAGGCGCGAAGCGUGGGAGCAAACAGG